CAGCGCGUUGAUCUCCAACGUGUACCGCAUGUGCGGAUGCAGAAGCUUGAACACCGGGUGCAUCACGCUCAGCUGUCGGUGAGCUGCGAUUAUGAAAGGCUCCAUGGUGGCGUGCGUCCUCAGCCUGCACCAGGAGCAGUGGUUGACCAGUUGAUGAACACCGGCGUCGUUGGAGCAGACGUGGGCCUUCCCAAGCAUCCACAGCCAAUUGGAAGUAGCGUCACGAGGCGGCGUCAGCACCACGCUGGGACGGGAUGCGCCUGGUUGCUGGGGAGGGAGUCCAAGCUCAAUCGCGAUCGGCUUAAGCGUUCCGAUCGGAGUCAAAAAGAAGAGGGUCCUCGUCGCGUACGCUUUUCGGCCAUCCAUUACGUUGAUUCUGUCAACGAAUGGCAGGCAUAUGUCGUAGAAGUCCAACAUGAACAGCUUGUCUUCCUCCACGGCCUUUUUGCGUCAACAACGAGACAGGGUCGACUGUGAGCAAAAUGCUGUGAAGGAUAAACAGGUGGGCCAUAAACUGCAGGGUCAAGUUUGCUUACUGGAGGGAACGCCUGCGCCAUAAGAUCCUUGUUAUUGUUUGCAACUCAGUUCAAUAUACAAGUGAUGAAGAAACCCUACUUAUGUGAGACUGAAGAGGGUGACGGGAUUACCUGAAGCCUUUCUAUGCUGACAGGGUUGAUCCCUGCAACUGCCUGCCGAGCAAAUUCAUCAUCUCGGAGCCAUGCAAAUUUGUCCUCUAAAGAGUAAACCACAAGUGAGCAUCAGAAUUGGUUCUUGUUCCAUGAUCAAACAUACUGGUUUGGCAUUUGAAAAUUUUAAUUCAUGCACCAAAAUCAUUUUUCUAAUUCAUUAAAUCUACUGAUGAACAAUCCUUAGAUUGUUUUUGAUUGCAAUUCACUUCUUUAUGUAACCUAGGAACAGGCUGUGAGGGGUGCCUGGGGUUAACGUAAUCAUCUUUUUACUAUAAUUGAUUGCAAUUCACUUAUUUUUAAUUGAUUUAACAGUUACUUUGAUCUUAUAAGUAUAGUACUGUCAAAAAGAGAUCAGUUCAGAAAAAGUAGCAUGCUAUUUCACUUACUUGUAAGGAUGCUUGGGGUGUCAUAUCGGAGCAGACCUUCACUUGAUUCUUGUAUCUUUUUAACGAAUGGGAGCUUCUUGAAGAGAUGUUCCUGGAGACCAAGCUUCAGGAUGAGGCCCUCCUUGUAGAGGUUGUCAAUGUGGUGGAAUCCUUUGAAGUCAUGGUUAUCAGCAGAGAUGGAUGCAAUAAGUGAUGGAAUGAAGUUGUGCAGCACGGCUUUUAGCCUUCCAGCAGUGAAAGCUCCUUGUUUUAGCUCCUCAAAUGCCUCAUCACGUGGCACGUAGAUUGGAUGUGGCUUCUCAACUCGACUCUCAGCUAGCAUGUCUGGACCAUGAGAUGAUUCAUUGUCAUUGUUGAUAUACAUGCCAACGCCUAGGCUGUUUCAAAUGGCUGUCAAUAGCAAGCAAGAAAAUUGUUCCUGACCUUAUUGCUGAAGAAAAUUCUCUUGCUGGGAAGGUCCUUGUUGGAUUGAACCCAAGAGUUGCAGGGGAAAUUAACUGGUCCAAAUGCAAAGCCUUCCCCUUCAACAACUAUGCUCUCCAAGAAGAACUCUUUCUGGUGGCGGUUGAUCACUGUGAUUGCUCCGGGCUCACCGAAACCAGAGUCCACCUCGAAUUCCUAAGUUACAAAAGCAAGUCCAAGGACAAUAAGCAAAUAUCUGAAGGGAGACAUGAAACAAGAUUUGUCAGUUAAGAGGAAGCAGAAAGGAAAAAGGCUUCCGUAUUUAUGAGGCAGUAGAUCAAGCAGCUCUGUGGUUUAUGAUUGAGGAACAAGCAUCUUAAGAUUUCGCAAGGCUUACUCGGAUUGAUCUCAGUGCUGAUGAGCUCCAACGCCACAUUCCAGCCAAUCCUAUCUCCUGCUUCCCAGCCAUCAUCUUGACCACAUCCUCAUUGGUUGCCGCUUUCACUGGCGUUGGCAUGGUCUUUGCAGGCCUUAGCCUGCUCCCCCUUCCUGGUUCAUCGGGAUAGAGAACAGGGAAGGCAAGACAGUGCUUGUU